GUUCUGCAGUUAAAUAUAAUUUAUUAUCUUUAUUCUUGCAAUAUUUACUGAAACUUUCCGAAAGCCAAGGCAUACAGCAUAAACCAGUGGUGGUAAAGUGAAAUUACUUCACCUACAUGCAUGUGCCAUUGAAUUAUUAAGCCCUUCUCUGGGGAUAACCGACUGUCGUUAUAGUUCCCUCCAUAGCAGUCACAGAUAAGCGUGGCUGAUUCUUUUUGAGUUUGCAGAGCUUUGGGUGCAUGGUGGCGCAGGGAAUUCGCUUCAGCGACUGCAGUCAGAGAUAAGAGGAAGAAAGGGAUAUGUAGAUGUUCUUUGCUGGGAAAGGAUGCGGAAGAAAAGGUAGGCAGAGUGAUUCUACAUUUCACUCUCCACCAACAGUGUGGCCUGCAUAAUGAUAACUUUCUCAAAGUGAACAAAGGCAUCAAAAGGGCUGAGAGAAGCAAGGAUUAUUUAAAUACUAGGUGUAUUAAAAGUCCUGGUGUGCCUUUCCAUCCCUAAAGUCAUCCGGAAAAAAAAAAGAAAAAAAAAGGAAAGGAAAAAAAAAGAACACAGUUCAGUUUUAGCCUGCUGAAAAGCAUGUAUAAACAAUGGAAUCAGCAGUGUUAAAUAGCAGCUGACUAAGGGGCAGAGAUAAAAAGGCAGGCGUUCAUUCAAGCUAAGCCAGAAUUAGCUCAUGUCAUACAAGAAAGGCUGCGAGAAAGUGAUAUGACAGUACCUAGCUCUAAAUUCUAGUUUUGUCACUAGUUUAUCUUGAACACACGGUUCCUGAAGUCUGAGUAUGGGACGUUUCAUUCAAUAUACAGCACCUGUCAGGCAUUCGUUCGCUUUGGAUGGAUUUUUCACCUGCAUUUGGUGUGAAUAUUUCAGGUUAGUCUUUGAUCUCGGGAGAGGGCGAGGAUUAUUAUUUCUCACCUUUAAGAGAAGCAGAGAGAAAUGGGAAAGACUGGCCAUGUGAUUCCUGCCUCAGUAAGGUAAUAAGGACAGAAUAAAAAUGAUCUGCGUUUUGGCA
ensembl:lncRNA